rnacentral:rRNA from 1 species
CCUACGGGUGGCAGCAGUGAGGAAUAUUGGUCAAUGGGCGAAAGCCUGAACCAGCCAAGUCGCGUGAAGGAUGAAGGUUCUAUGGUUUGUAAACUUCUUUUAUAGGGGAGUAAAGUACGGAACGUGUUGCUUUUUGAAUGUACCAUAUGAAUAAGCAUCGGCUAACUCCGUGCCAGCAGCCGCGGUAAUACGGAGGAUGCGAGCGUUAUCCGGAUUUAUUGGGUUUAAAGGGUGCGUAGGUGGUUAAUUAAGUCAGCGGUGAAAGUUUGAGGCUUAACCAUAAAAGUGCAAUUGAUACUGGUAUUCUUGAGUAAGGGAGAGGUAGGCGGAAUUCGUGGUGUAGCGGUGAAAUGCUUAGAUAUCACGAAGAACUCCGAUUGCGAAGGCAGCCUACUAGAGCGCAACUGACGCUGAUGCGCGAAAGUGUGGGUAUCAAACAGGAUUAGAUACCCGAGUAGUC